UGACCUCGAUCAGGUAGGGAUACC
rnacentral:rRNA from 1 species